AUUUAAAUAGCUUAAAUUAAAGCAUGAUAUUGAAGAUAUCAAAAUGAUUAAUUAAUCUUUAAAUA
rnacentral:tRNA from 1 species